rnacentral:lncRNA from 1 species
ACCAAGAGGGGCAGGCUCCUUCGGAAAUAUGAAACAGCUUAUAGUGCCUCCCUCUGAAAAAUGGUGAAAAGAAUUGAAAUGAGCCAGCAGGUCACAUACACUUGCUCCUUCUGUGGCAAGACCAAGAUCAAGAGAUGAGCUGUUAGCAUCUGGCACUGUGAUUCCUACAUGAAAAUAGUGACUGGCAAGUCCUGAACCUACACUGAGGCAGCCACAGUCAAGUCUUCCACCAGAAGACUAAAGAACCUGAAAGACCAG